GUAACAAGGUUUCCGUAGGUGAACCUGCGGAAGGAUCAUUAAAUAAUUUAGAUGGCCUUUGCUAGUUUUCUAGCGAAUGGUUCAUUCUUUUUUACUGUGAACUGUUUUAAUUUUUCAGCGUCUGAGGAAUGUCUUUUAGCCAUAGGGAUAGGCUACUAGAAUGUUAACCGAGCUGAAAGUCAGGCUUAGGCCUGGUAUCCUAUUAAUUAUUUACCAAAAGAAUUCAGUAUUAUAAUUGUAACAUAAGCGUAAAAAACUUAUAAAACAACUUUUAACAACGGAUCUCUUGGUUCUCGCAUCGAUGAAGAACGUAGCAAAGUGCGAUAACUAGUGUGAAUUGCAUAUUCAGUGAAUCAUCGAGUCUUUGAACGCAACUUGCGCUCAAUGGUAUUCCAUUGAGCACGCCUGUUUCAGUAUCAAAAACACCCCACAUUCAUAAUUUUGUUGUGAAUGGAAAUGAGAGUUUCGGCUUUAUUGCUGAAUUCUUUAAAAUUAUUAGGCCUGAACUAUUGUUCUUUCUGCCUGAACAUUUUUUUAAUAUAAAGGAAUGCUCUAGUAAAAAGACUAUCUCUGGGGCCUCCCAAAUAAAUCAUUCUUAAAUUUGAUCUGAAAUCAGGCGGGAUUACCCGCUGAACUUAAGCAUAUCA
rnacentral:misc_RNA from 1 species